AAUCAACGCUGGCGGCGUGCCUCAGACAUGCAAGUCGAACGAUUAAAGCUCUCUCCGGAGAGUGUAUAGAGUGGCGCACGGGUGAGUAACACGUAAGUAAUCUACCUUCGAGUGGGGAAUAACGUCCGGAAACGGACGCUAAUACCGCAUAAUGCAGCGGCAUCGCAAGAUGACAGUUGUUAAAGAUUUAUCGCUUGAAGAGGAGCUUGCGGCAGAUUAGCUAGUUGGUAAGGUAAUGGCUUACCAAGGCUACGAUCUGUAACCGGUCUAAGAGGACGGUCGGUCACACUGACACUGAAUAACGGGUCAGACUCCUACGGGAGGCAGCAGUCGGGAAUUUUGGGCAAUGGGCGAAAGCCUGACCCAGCAACGCCGCGUGAAGGAUGAAGUAUUUCGGUAUGUAAACUUCGAAAGAAUAGGAAGAAUAAAUGACGGUACUAUUUAUAAGGUCCGGCUAACUACGUGCCAGCAGCCGCGGUAAG
rnacentral:rRNA from 1 species